ACCCUACGGGCGCAGCAGUAGGGAAUAUUGCUCAAUGGGGGAAACCCUGAAGCAGCAACGCCGCGUGGAGGAUGAAGGUUUUAGGAUUGUAAACUCCUUUUGUAAGAGAAGAUUAUGACGGUAUCUUACGAAUAAGCACCGGCUAACUCCGUGCCAGCAGCCGCGGUAAUACGGAGGGUGCAAGCGUUACUCGGAAUCACUGGGCGUAAAGAGCGCGUAGGCGGGUGGUCAAGGCAGCUGUGAAAUCCUGUAGCUUAACUACAGAACUGCAUUUGAAACUGAUCAUCUAGAGUCUGGGAGAGGGA
rnacentral:rRNA from 1 species